GGAAGGACGGCGCACUCGGUGAAGUAAAGCGUUACAGUAACCGAAGGAAGAGAAAUCAAAUGAGAUGUCGGUAGUAAGGGCGACUGAACCCGACUUAAGGCAAACUGAAUCUUACCAGUAAUGGUUAAGAAAUGUGGUGUUGCAGGACUUGCUUUCAACCCUAAUCACUCGAUCCAAAGUUUCCUGGAAAGUUACACCUUAGAGGGUGAUAGUCCCGUAGGUUUUAUGGAAUAGGAUACUGGAGAUUUCAAGAGUACUGUUUAUUGGAUUUUAAGCAGGAAUGUAGGAGGCAUCAACUUCUAACCUUAAAUACAUUUAGAGUCCGAUAGCGCACUAGUACCGUGAGGGAAAGUUGAAAAGAACCCCUAUCAGGGAGUAAAAAGAGUCUGAAAUCUAAUAGUUAUGGUAAGAUACUGCUCUUAGGAGUUGUAUCGUACGUUUAGAAUAACGUGCCAGGGAGUUUAUCUGAGUGGCAAGAAUAAUUUUUUCAAAAAGGAUUCGUAGGGAAACCAAUAUCCACGCAAUUUAUGAGGUGGAAGGUAUUAAACUACCUAUAGUCACUUGGAUAUGACCCGAAACCGGACGAUCUAACCUUGGGCAAGGUGAAGUAUGGGUAAAACCAUAUGGAGGCCUGAAGAGUUGCUACGAGCAAGUGUUCUUCUGACCUGGGAUUAGGGGUGAAAAGCCAAUCGAGACCGGUGAUAGCUGGUUCCUGCCAAAGUUGGCCUUAGUCAAGUCUCAGACGAGAUUGCUAGGAUUGUAGAGCUACGGAUUGGGGAUUUUGGGGCUUAACCGCUUCGGUCUCCUCUCCAACUCCGAAGGUUCUAGCGUUGUAGACUCUGGGAAACGGGGGCGCGGGGUAAGCUUGCGUCCCGAGAGGGGAACAACCCAGACUAUAGUUAAGGUCCCAAAAUACUAACUAAGUGUUAAAGGGUGAAAGGUGUAUAACACCUAAGACAGAUGGGAGGUAAGCUUAGAAGCAGC
rnacentral:rRNA from 1 species